UGGGGUGUACAGUGUUCCAGUGUGUAGCACUGAUGAGAGGUGCUCCCAGCAGUGCAUGGGUGGCGCAGGGAGGGGCUUAAGGACACGGCUUGCAGAGCAUCGAAUGGAUGUCGGGGAGGGAAGAUUGAGUGCGGCCCUGGCGAGGGGGACCUAUGAGCGGGGCAUCACUGUGGUGUGGAGGGGCGCUGGGGUUAUCAGGCGGGUCUGGGAGGUUGGUGCUCUCAGUGCUGCGGAGAUGAUUGGGAUUGGUCGCCGAAGGGCCCACCUAGGGGUUGUCAAUGAUAGUCGGCCUGUUGAGCUGGCACAUGCUUGGAUGUGGGCGCUCAACAUAGGCAUGUGGAUCCCCAAUGACGUAUGAGUGGUGGUGCGGUUGAUCUUGUCCCGUGUUGUUCUUAGUUUUUUGUGUGUGUUGGGU
rnacentral:lncRNA from 1 species